GAUGAACGCUGGCGGCGUGCCUAAUACAUGCCAGUCGAGCGAACAGACGAGGAGCUUGCUCCUCUGACGUUAGCGGCGGACGGGUGAGUAACACGUGGAUAACCUACCUAUAAGACUGGGAUAACUUCGGGAAACCGGAGCUAAUACCGGAUAAUAUAUUGAACCGCAUGGUUCAAUAGUGAAAGACGGUUUUGCUGUCACUUAUAGAUGGAUCCGCGCCGCAUUAGCUAGUUGGUAAGGUAACGGCUUACCAAGGCAACGAUGCGUAGCCGACCUGAGAGAGGGAUCGGCCACACUGGAACUGAGACACGGUCAAGACUCCUACGGGAGGCAGCAGUAGGGAAUCUUCCGCAAUGGGCGAAAGCCUGACGGAGCAACGCCGCGUGAGUGAUGAAGGUCUUCGGAUCGUAAAACUCUGUUAUUAGGGAAGAACAAAUGUGUAAGUAACUAUGCACGGCUUGACGGUACCUAAUCAGAAAGCCACGGCUAACUACGUG
rnacentral:rRNA from 1 species